UGGUAAUGCAUUACAGGUACGUAAUCAGAUUACUUUUUUCAAGUAACUGUAACACAUUGCUUUUUAAUUAACAAGAAAAUAAGUAACAAGUUACUUUGUUUUCCCAUGUAUUAACUGACAGUUCUUCUGUCCCUGUGUUAAAAGAGAAAUCAGGAGUAACUGUUGCUGAGUAAGGCGUUGUGUGAAUAUGAUGCUUAAUGUAACUCUAGACUAAAUGUGAACAUGCAUUUGCUAAAAAAAAACUUUUUUAUGUAAAAAAAAAAACAAGCAAGCCCAGCCCAAAUUUAAAAAGUAAUGCAAACGUAACACAAAAGUAAUGUAACAUUUUACUUACCACAAAACGUAACAAAGUAACCUAACUAGUUACUUUUUAAGGAAGUAACACAUUUUUUAAAGUGUCUUUUGGGUUUUUGUUUUUCAAAAAAUAAAUCAGCAAGCCCAGGCCAGGUGACAAUUACACACAAAAGUAACACAAUGCAUUAUGUUCCAUAAAAAGUAACUAAUUAGUUACUUUUUUAUGGCGUAAUGCAAUAUUGUAAUGCAUUACUUUCAAAAAUAGCUUUCCCUAACACUGCCUGUUGCAAAUUAAAACUCCCAGCCCUUGCUUUUAGUAUUCUUUUAUAGUCAUACUUGUGGCUUCAUUUGUUUAACACUUUCUUCCUCUGCAGGUCAGGUUCAGGAUGAUUGUUAUGAUCUGUCACUGGUCACUUCAGCCAGUCACUACAAGAAGACAAAAAUACAUCUCAGCUUACUUUCCAAGCCGUUCCUCUGUCUUUACCUGUCUGUGUCAUCUCACUGCACGCAGACGGUGGGCUCUGGCAGGUCUCACACAUCUUCCCGUCUGAAUGAGCAAGCGUCUGUCCCCUUCAUCCUUCAUUCCUCCGUCCAGAUGAAAGGCUCCAGCAUUCCUCCCUCUGCUUGUGUGGUCUCUCCAGUAGGAGCGACGUAAUGCUGUCACCGCUGGCCCAGCAUGCAUGUGUUUGUGUGUUUAGACCCGCUCUCACUGAUGGCUGAUGGUCAUUUUCCACCUGAGAGGUUCAUGGAUGUUUAUUGUUCAGUAGAAUUGGGAGCAUAUUUCAGCGGAGGUCAUGCUGAGUGAGAAUUUCGCUCACUGUCCUUAUGGAUUUUCCCGUUCCUCCUCUAGCAGGCUGGUGAUAUACAGUGUGAGGUCUAUCUCUGAUCUCGAGCGAUAGAAAUGUCAUAGCUUAUAUUCAGCUGAUAUAUUUUAAUGAGGUCUGAAUAUGUUAAUAUGAGAAGCAUGUGUAUGCUGAAGUAUUAUAACAGAUGGUUUAGUGGAUCAGUCACAUUCUUCUCAGAAGUCUGUCGACACCGUCAAGUGUGAGAGGCUUGCUAAGGAUGCUGGGUAAAUGGAUGAGAAUUCCUGAAAGUCAGAAGAAACAAAUAAGAAAGCAAUUCUUUAUAACUAUUUUUGUCUCCAGAUCUAUCAGUUAAUCAUAAUGCCGUCAAUGCAUCGGUUAACAAAAAAAAAAUGAAAUUUUACACCAGUGUCAUAUUUCAAGCCUCAAUCGAAUUAAAGAAAAAUAUGGAAUUCUAUUUUGCAAACAGUAUAAUGUAAAAGUAAGCUAUUUUUAUUGCAACCUUAUUUGAGUGACAAUUAAGCACAUUUUAUUUGUCAGUAGCCUGAUACAAAAGAAAAAAAAGCUCAUUCUCAUUACAGUUUAAAAAUAAAAAAUAAAUAAACAGUAAGUUUUGAGAGAUA
ensembl:lncRNA